rnacentral:rRNA from 1 species
GACGAACGCUGGCGGCGUGCUUAACACAUGCAAGUCGAACGGUAAGGCCCUUCGGGGUACACGAGUGGCGAACGGGGGAGUAACACGGGGGUGAUCUGGCCUGCACUGCGGGAUGAGCCUGGGAAACUGGGUCUAAUACCGGAUAGGACCACUGCCUGCAUGGGUGGUGGGGGAAAGCUUUUGCGGUGUGGGAUGGGCCCGUGGCCAAUCAGGUUGGUGGUGGGGUGAUGGCCUAGCAAGGCGACGACGGGUAGCCGGCCCGAGAGGGUGACCGGCCACCAUGGGACUGAGAUACGGCCCAGACGCCUACGGGAGGCAGCAGUGGGGAAUAUUGCACAAUGGGCGCAAGCCUGAUGCAGCGACGCCGCGUGAGGGAUGACGGCCUUCGGGUUGUAAACCUCUUUCAGCACCGACGAAGCGCAAGUGACGGUAGGUGCAGAAGAAGGACCGGCCAACUACGUGCCAGCCGCCGCCGUAA